rnacentral:rRNA from 1 species
AACGAACGCUGGCGGCGUGCCUAACACAUGCAAGUCGUGCGAGAAAGUUUCCUUCGGGAAGCGAGUAAAGCGGCGCACGGGUGAGUAACACGUAGGUAACCUACCUUUCAGUCCGGAAUAACCAGCUGAAAAGCUGGCUAAUGCCGGGUAAGACCACGACCUCUACGGGGGUCGCGGCCAAAGGCGGCCUCUUCAUGAAAGCUGAUGCUGAGAGAUGGGCCUGCGCACCAUAGCUAGUUGGUGAGGUAAUAGCUCACCAAGGCUUUGAUGGUUAGCUGGUCUGAGAGGAUGACCAGCCACACUGGGACUGAGACACGG